rnacentral:rRNA from 1 species
AUUGAACGCUGGCGGCAAGCCUAUCACAUGCAAGUCGAACGAGUGGCGGACGGGUGAGUAAUGUUUGGGAAACUGCCUGAUGGAGGGGGAUCACUACUGGAAACGGUAGCUAAUAUCGCAACCCCUCGCAUGCGCCCAGAUGGGAUUAGCUAGUAGGUGGGGUAAAGGCUCACGUAGGCGACGAUCCCUAGCUGGUCUGAGAGGAAGACCAGCAACACUGGAACUGAGACACAGUCCAGACUCCUACGGGAGGCAGCAGUGGGGAAUAUUGCACAAUGGGCGCAAGCCUGAUGCAGCCAUGCCGCGUGUAUGAAGAAGGCCUUCGGGUUGUAAAGUACUUUCAGCGGGGAGGCGUUACCCGCAGAAGAAGCACCGGCUAACUCCGUGCCAGCAGCCGCGGUAAUUC